UGGUGGAGUGAUUUGUCUGGUUAAUUCCGAUAACGAACGAGACUCUGUCCUGCUAAAUAGCUUCCGUGUCUCUUUUUUGCGCGGGAGGUUCUUCUUAGAGGGACUGGCGGCUUCUAGCCGCACGAGAUUGAGCAAUAACA
rnacentral:rRNA from 1 species